CCUACGGGAGGCAGCAGUGGGGAAUAUUGCACAAUGGGGGAAACCCUGAUGCAGCGACGCCGCGUGAAGGAAGAAGUAUUUCGGUAUGUAAACUUCUAUCAGCAGGGAAGAAAAUGACGGUACCUGACUAAGAAGCCCCGGCUAACUACGUGCCAGCAGCCGCGGUAAUACGUAGGGGGCAAGCGUUAUCCGGAUUUACUGGGUGUAAAGGGAGCGUAGGCGGUUUAGCAAGUCAGAAGUGAAAGCCCGGGGCUCAACUUCGGGACUGCUUUUGAAACUGUUGAACUAGAGUGCAGGAGAGGUAAGUGGAAUUCCUAGUGUAGCGGUGAAAUGCGUAGAUAUUAGGAGGAACACCAGUGGCGAAGGCGGCUUACUGGACUGUAAAUGACGCUGAGGCUCGAAAGCGUGGGGAGCAAACAGGAUUAGAUACCCCAGUAGUC
rnacentral:rRNA from 1 species